ACGUUGGUGGUGAAACGGUUAUCAUCCUUGCCUUCCAUUCGAAAGAAUUACGUAAGCAAGGGGCGGGGGUUCGACUCCCUCCCAACGUA